rnacentral:tRNA from 1 species
AUAAGAUUAAGUUAGAUAAGACUGAAUAUUUUCAAAAUAUUUAGGGACUUUUGUCAUCUUAUG